GAUGAACGCUGGCGGCGUGCCUAAUACAUGCAAGUCGAGCGAACGGACGAGAAGCUUGCUUCUCUGAUGUUAGCGGCGGACGGGUGAGUAACACGUGGAUAACCUACCUAUAAGACUGGGAUAACUUCGGGAAACCGGAGCUAAUACCGGAUAAUAUUUUGAACCGCAUGGUUCAAAAGUGAAAGCCGGUCUUGCUGUCCCUUAUAGAUGGAUCCGCGCUGCAUUAGCUAGUUGGUAAGGUAACGGCUUACCAAGGCAACGAUGCAUAGCCGACCUGAGAGGAUGAUCGGCCACACUGGAACUGAGACACGGUCCAGACUCCUACGGGAGGCAGCAGUAGGGAAUCUUCCGCAAUGGGCGAAAGCCUGACGGAGCAACGCCGCGUGAGUGAUGAAGGUCUUCGGAUCGUAAAACUCUGUUAUUAGGGAAGAACAUAUGUGUAAGUAACUGUGCACAUCUUGACGGUACCUAAUCAGAAAGCCACGGCUAACUACGUG
rnacentral:rRNA from 1 species